rnacentral:rRNA from 1 species
UGGACGAGAGUCUGAACCAGCCAAAUCGCGUGAAGGAAGACUGCCUUAUGGGUUGUAAACUUCUUUUAUACAGGAAUAAAAAGAGUUACGUGUAACUUAUUGCAUGUACUGUAUGAAUAAGCAUCGGCUAACUCCGUGCCAGCAGCCGCGGUAAUACGGAGGAUGCGAGCGUUAUCCGGAUUUAUUGGGUUUAAAGGGUGCGCAGGCGGGAUCUUAAGUCAGCGGUGAAAUUUUCAGGCUCAACCUGAACACUGCCGUUGAAACUGGGAUUCUUGAGUAUAGAUGAAGUAGGCGGAAUUCGUUGUGUAGCGGUGACAUGCUUAGAUAUAACGAGGAACUCCAAUUGCGUAGGCAGCUUACUAAGCUAUAACUGACGCUCAAGCACGAAAGCGUGGGGAUCAAACAGGAUUAGAUACCCUGGUAGUCCACGCCGUAAACGAUGAUUACUAGUUGUUUGUGAUAUAUUAUAAGUGACUAAGCGAAAGCGAUAAGUAAUCCACCUGGGGAGUA